rnacentral:rRNA from 1 species
UACAGAGGGUGCAAGCGUUAAUCGGAAUUACUGGGCGUAAAGCGCACGUAGGUGGAUACUUAAGUCGAAUGUGAAACCCCCGAGCUUAACUUGGGGACUGCAUGCGAUACUGGGUAUCUAGAGUAUAGUAGAGGGAAGUGGAAUUUCCGGAGUAGCGGUGAAAUGCGUAGAUAUCGGAAGGAACACCAGUGGCGAAGGCGGCUUCCUGGACUAAUACUGACACUGAGGUGCGAAAGCGUGGGGAGCAAACAGG